rnacentral:lncRNA from 1 species
CUAAUGCCGCUCAUAUUCUCUAAAUUUGAUUCUACAUUGUCUUUGACGGAGGUUGCUGCAAAUCGCCCAAUUGUUCUUUGGCAAGAUUGUUGUUUUCAUUUAUUUGUUCGCUCUUAUGAGCAGGUAGAUUGCUGAAAAUCAUAUUUUUCCUAGAUCUGUUAUAAAUGCAGUGGUAUGUGUGGCCGUGACGGCGCUUCUUUAGGUGGUGGUGAUAGGGUUCGUCUAGGCUCAUGGGUUGUUUUAGAGUUUUGGUUAUGUUGGGUUUGUGGGCUUUAUUUGGGGUUAUGGUUAAUUGUGGUGAUGUGGGCUAGUAGUUUUAGUGCGACUAUUGUUCGUGUUAGUUUUGCUUGUAUCAUAUUAGUUUGUUGCCCUCUUGGGAUUGGUAUUUUAGUUGUCUUGUUGAUGUCUUCGAUUGAACUGUUAAAGCUUAUCUAAUGAAGUUUCUAUUUGAUUAAAA